CAAAGUAUUCAGCCAGAUACACAAAAAUUAACAUGGACUUUCGUUUACAAUAGUCAAUUUCAUAAAAAAAAUGCUAAUAUUCCUAAUACAAAUAAAGGCUUGAUUGUUGUUGUUGUUGUUGUUGCUGUUGUAUAUGCCUGAUAACAAUACUGUACAAGAGGAUUACAUAACAGAAAUGGUUAAGCACAGUCACACAGAAUACAUAUCAACAUAACAAAAUUUCAAAACUUCUAUUAAAAACUACCAAAAAAUGGGGUUAAUAUCUAUGCAUUGUUUGCAAGAAGAAAAAAUGCAAAGCAAAAAUGUCAAAUGAAGAGAAAAGUGAAGAAAAGUGUUGGAGGCUCAGUGCAGCACAGUGGAGAAAAAGGAAACAGGGAACAACAAUAAUUCCACCGAACUCAACUCCCAACCUUAGUUUUCUGCUUCAAUGUUGAAACAUAUCAUGAAGUUUCUAAUGUCGAAACAUAUCAUGAAGUUUCUAAUGUCGAAAAAUUGUU
rnacentral:lncRNA from 1 species